AUUAAACGCUGGCGGCAUGCCUUACACAUGCAAGUCGAACGGCAGCACGGGGGCAACCCUGGUGGCGAGUGGCGGACGGGUGAGUAAAGCAUCGGAACGUAUCCUGGAGUGGGGGGAUAACGUAGCGAAAGUUACGCUAAUACCGCAUAUUCUGUGAGCAGGAAAGCAGGGGAUCGCAAGACCUUGCGCUCUGGGAGCGGCCGAUGUCGGAUUAGCUAGUUGGUGGGGUAAAGGCCUACCAAGGCGACGAUCCGUAGCGGGUCUGAGAGGAUGAUCCGCCACACUGGGACUGAGACACGGCCCAGACUCCUACGGGAGGCAGCAGUGGGAAUUUUGGACAAUGGGCGGAAGCCUGAUCCAGCCAUGCCGCGUGAGUGAAGAAGGCCUCGGG
rnacentral:rRNA from 1 species